rnacentral:misc_RNA from 1 species
GAAAUGCGAUAAGUAAUGUGAAUUGCAGAAUUCAGUGAAUCAUCGAAUCUUUGAACGCACCUUGCGCUCCUUGGUAUUCCUUGGAGCAUGCCUGUUCUAGUAUCAUGAAAUCUUCAAAGUAAAUCUUUUGUUAACUCAAUUGGUUUCUACUUUGGUAUUGGAGGUCUUUGCAGCUUCACACCUGCUCCUCUUUGUUCAUUAGCUGGAUCUCAGUGUUAUGCUUGGUUCCACUCGGCGUGAUAAGUUAUCUAUCGCUGAGGACACUGUAAAAGGUGGCCAAGGUAAAUGCAGAUGAACCGCUUCUAAUAGUCCAUUGACUUGGACAAUACUUUUAUGAUCUGAUCUCAAAUCAGGUAGGACUACCCGCUGAACUUAAGC